GAACAAUUCAAAUCGUUGGCAUCUUUGGGUUGAUAUAAAAAUUGGAAUAUUAUACGUUUCAGUAUAAACAGAAGGCAUACAACAAAAGCCUUUCCGCCAGGGCCUUACAGCGAUUUGCUAUGCUUGAUACAAACAAAAUGUCGUGACAGAAUUCACUGGAGACAACAAUUUGAUAAACCUGAUAAACAGAUGGGCAAGUACACUACCAAAUACCAAUGCGUGAUGCAAAGCUUCAUUUUAUAUGCACCAGCUACGUUUAGGUCCCCCGCAGAUUUUACGGUUGUACUGUCUACAUUUGAUUCAUGGGUUUUAGAAUAACUGGAAGCUUUCUCCCUCUAACAUAACAAUAUUAAUAUCUGGGGGGCCUCUCCGGUCUCCAGUGCCACCCAACCAAACUUCCCUUUUCGAAAAUCAGAUGAGAUACGAAAAGCUGCUUGAUGGGUGUCCCCAUUAAACAAGUGGAUUGUAAACUUCUGA
rnacentral:misc_RNA from 1 species